AACGAACGCUGGCGGCAUGCCUAACACAUGCAAGUCGAACGAGACCUUCGGGUCUAGUGGCGCACGGGUGCGUAACGCGUGGGAAUCUGCCCUUGGGUUCGGAACAACAGUUGGAAACGACUGCUCAUACCGGAUGAUGACUUCGGUCCAAAGAUUUAUCGCCCAAGGAUGAGCCCGCGUAGGACUAGCUUGUUGGUGAGGUAAAAGCUCACCAAGGCGCCGAUCCCUAGCUGGUCUGAGAGGAUGAUCAGCCACACUGGGACUGAGACACGGUCCAGACUCCUACGGGAGGCAGCAGUUAGGAAUAUUUCACAAUGGGCGAAAGCCUGAUGAAGCAACGCCGCGUGCAGGAUGAAGGCCUUCGGGUUGUAAACUGCUUUUAUGAGUGAAGAAUAUGACGGUAACUCAUGAAUAAGGGUCUGCUAACUACGUGCCAGCAGCCGCCGUAAAAC
rnacentral:rRNA from 1 species